ACACGACUACAUUAGAUACCCGGUAGUCCUAGCCGUAAACGAUACUCGCUAGGUGUCGGCCACGGUGCGACCGUUGUCGGUGCCGUAGGGAAGCCGUGAAGCGAGCCACCUGGGAAGUACGGCCGCAAGGCUGAAACUUAAAGGAAUUGGCGGGGGAGCACCACAACGGGUGGAGCUUGCGGUUUAAUUGGAUCAACGCCGGAAAUCUUACCGGGACCGACAGCAACAUGAAGGCCAAGCUGAAGACUUUGCCGGAUUAGCUG
rnacentral:rRNA from 1 species